GACGAACGCUGGCGGCGUGCUUAACACAUGCAAGUCGAACGGGCCUUGUCCCCUUUUUUUUUGGGGGUGGGGUUAGUGGCGAACGGGUGAGUAACACGUGAGUAACCUGCCCCUCACUUCUGGAUAACCGCUUGAAAGGGUGGCUAAUACGGGGUGUUCUGGCCUGCUCGCAUGGGUGGGUUUGGAAAGAUUCGACCGGUUUUGGUUGUUUUGGUGGGGGAUGGGCUCGCGGCCUAUCAGCUUGUUGGUGGGGUGAUAGCCUGCCAAGGCUUUGACGGGUAGCCGGCCUGAGAGGGUGGGCGGUCACACUGGGACUGAGACACGGCCCAGACUCCUACGGGAGGCAGCAGUGGGGAAUAUUGCACAAUGGGCGCAAGCCUGAUGCAGCGACGCCGCGUGAGGGAUGGAGGCCUUCGGGUUGUGAACCUCUUUCGCCAGUGAAGAAGGUCCUGCUCUUUGUGGUGGGGUUGACGGUAGCGGGGUUAAUGAAGCGCCGGCUAACUACGUG
rnacentral:rRNA from 1 species